rnacentral:rRNA from 1 species
AUGGAGUCCAACGGUGGCGAGGGAGAGGGCAACAUCGACCUCAACCUCUCCCUGCAGCGGGCCUCGUCGCCGGAGUGGUUUGGUUACUUCUCCUGCUCCUACUGCACCAAGAAGUUCUACUACUCCCAGGCGCUAGGCGGCCACCAGAACGCCCACAAGUCCGAGCGCAGCGUCGCCAAACGCACGCGGGAGCUGGCCUACACGCGCCGCCAGGGCCACGUGGGCCAGCUCGGUGAGGCCAGCAGGAGAGAGAAGGACCCGACUAGCAAUGCCACGGGGAGCUCCUCGCACAGGAGGGCGUCCCCGCCGGAGGCAGCUCGCCGGGACCUCAUCAACGAGGAGAUCGAUCUGUCCCUCAAGCUCUGA